rnacentral:rRNA from 1 species
CGGCGUGCCUAAUACAUGCAAGUCGAACGCUUCUUUCCUCCCGAGUGCUUGCACUCAAUUGGAAAGAGGAGUGGCGGAUGGGUGAGUAACACGUGGGUAACCUACCCAUCAGAGGGGGAUAACACUUGGAAACAGGUGCUAAUACCGCAUAACAGUUUAUGUCGCAUGGCAUAAGAGUGAAAGGCGCUUUCGGGUGUCGCUGAUGGAUGGACCCGCGGUGCAUUAGCUAGUUGGUGAGGUAACGGCUCACCAAGGCCACGAUGCAUAGCCGACCUGAGAGGGUGAUCGGCCACACUGGGACUGAGACACGGCCCAGACUCCUACGGGAGGCAGCAGUAGGGAAUCUUCGGCAAUGGACGAAAGUCUGACCGAGCAACGCCGCGUGAGUGAAGAAGGUUUUCGGAUCGUAAAACUCUGUUGUUAGAGAAGAACAAGGACGUUAGUAACUGAACGUCCCCUGACGGUAUCUAACCAGAAAGCCACGGCUAACUACGUGCCAGCAGCCGCGGUAAUACGUAGGUGGCAAGCGUUGUCCGGAUUUAUUGGGCGUAAAGCGAGCGCAGGCGGUUUCUUAAGUCUGAUGUGAAAGCCCCCGGCUCAACCGGGGAGGGUCAUUGGAAACUGGGAGACUUGAGUGCAGAAGAGGAGAGUGGAAUUCCAUGUGUAGCGGUGAAAUGCGUAGAUAUAUGGAGGAACACCAGUGGCGAAGGCGGCUCUCUGGUCUGUAACUGACGCUGAGGCUCGAAAGCGUGGGGAGCAAACA